rnacentral:rRNA from 1 species
AGCGAACGCUGGCGGCAGGCCUAACACAUGCAAGUCGAACGGACCCUUCGGGGUUAGUGGCGGACGGGUGAGUAACACGUGGGAACGUGCCUUUAGGUUCGGAAUAGCUCCUGGAAACGGGUGGUAAUGCCGAAUGUGCCCUUCGGGGGAAAGAUUUAUCGCCCUUAGAGCGGCCCGCGUCUGAUUAGCUUGUUGGUGGGGUAAUGGCCCACCAAGGCUACGAUCAGUAGCUGGUCUGAGAGGAUGACCAGCCACAUUGGGACUGAGACACGGCCCAAACUCCUACGGGAGGCAGCAGUGGGGAAUCUUGCGCAAUGGGCGAAAGCCUGACGCAGCCAUGCCGCGUGUAUGAUGAAGGUCUUAGGAUUGUAAAAUACUUUCACCGGUGAAGAUAAUGACUGUAGCCGGAGAAGAAGCCCCGGCUAACUUCGUGCCAGCAGCCGCGGUAAUACGAAGGGGGCUAGCGUUGCUCGGAAUUACUGGGCGUAAAGGGAGCGUAGGCGGACAUUUAAGUC